GAAUAACCACCCUGGCCGAGGCUUCGCAUCCAGCUGUGUGGAAGGAAGUCUCUUCAGCCCGCAGCACUUGAUUUGAUGAUGCCGGGUCCCAGGGCAGUCAGGAUGGAAUGGUGCUCUAAAAGGCACAGAGCCUUCGAUCGACUGAACUCCCAGCAUCUCUGCCCCAUCUUGGCCACAUGGACUUAGCCUCCCUCCCCCAGUCUUUCUGUUCCCAUCGGUUGCACCCCAGUGGGUCUCAGUCCUGCUUCCAGGGCUUCCCUCUCACGGGGUCAGCUGAUAAGCAUUCUCUUUUCCAACGCCCCCUUCCCGCCAGGUGCUCACCUCCCUGGGGGCGGAGAGAGAGUGGGUGUGACAAACUUUUCAGGGGAUCAGCCAGUUUCUCCACAAACAGCUCCCGGAAAGAGUGAUGUCCCCAGGAAACCCUCAGACUAGAGCACACCAGCCUCUGGAGAAUGUCACAUUCCAGAGGUCCGCUCAGUUCCUGGCCUGUGACUCACUGGGUGGAUCCCGCCCACCCGGGGCCCCGAGGCAGUGAUGGUGGCCCUGCUCCUCUGUUCCCGGUGAGGGCCCCACAGCAGCUGUGCCCUCCGUGUGGACUGUGACAGCGGCAGAGGACGCUGGCUGUGCUAACCCGCCCUGUCUCGUUUUUCAAUGUCGUGCUUUCAUGACGUGCAUCUCUUGAGACUGUGCUUUAUCUUUCCGGAAUAAAGAACUGGUAAAUCUGUAUUCAGAAACAUAAAAUUUUCGAAAACCAGCCAGAUAGGAGUACAUCUGUACCUGGAAAUGCUUAAGUGGAGCCUGCUGCUUUUCCCCCUCAGGACACCCCAGAGACACAGCUGAAAAUAAUUUCAUUCGCUAAGGUCUCCUCCUCUCUGGAUGGCACCACAGCAGAACAUGCAGCUUAUGCAUAGUAUUCAAAAUAAAGCAAAGGUGAAGAUGACGCCAGCAACCUAGCCCAUGACAACAGCAAGCUCCGCAAACCACGGUGGGAAAGUGUGCCCUCGUGACUCCAUAAAUUCCUCUUCACCAGCCCUCCGUGGGCAGGUUUGGUCCCAGUUCAGAGAAGGGGAAUCUGACGUAGAAAAUCUUCAGUGACUUGCUCCAAGCCAGGCAGUGUUGACAGAGAGCCGGGAGCGAAUCUCAGAGCAGCCGAAACGCAGCUCCUCUCCAAGGACGCCUGGGAGGCUCCCUAAAUGACAGAACAGGCAGCCAGUCCCCGGCGAGUGGGAACCCGCCCUGCCGGGACCAGAGCCCAGGACGAGGCUGCAAACCGUCCCGGACAUUGGCUUCCAGCCUCCCAUGAGGGAUGUCUGGCUCCAAAGACACGAGUUCAUCUUGGCCAGACCCCUGACCUGGACAUCUCGGAAGCGAAAAGAAACCCAGUGAGCCAAAAGUUGAAAGGAGAGAGACCGCUCUCCAGGACAGCUGACUCUUCACCCGAGAGCCUGAGCUGCCCGCGAGAAAGACGCACCUGGACAAGGGGGACGAGGAGGGGGGCAGGGAGAUCAGAGUGGAUGAAAAGGGCUCUGGUCAAAGGGAAGAACUGGAGAGGACGAUAGCCCCAGAACUAUCCACACCAGCCAUCCUCCUCAGGGAGGGAAAGAGUUGAUCUUCAAACCUCCCACGUGGGCAAAGAGCUGCAGGAGGCAGAGGAGGCGGGGCCUGCCCACACCUUCCUGCGCAGAGGUCUCCUUUAGGCCGCAUUCUGCUAUGAAGUGUCCCAGACUCCCUCCUCUGUGCUCACAGAAGCGCCAAAGUGCUCUGCCAGGGGCCUGGCUCCUAAAGCCUUCAACCCCCAUCUGCCGUGUGCCUGGCCAUCUCCAUGGGAGGCACUCCAUGCUGUGUAUCUUCAGAGCUCCAAGGUCACGGGAACACAGAAACAGUCCCUGCAGUGCUCGUGACGCUUGUGUCCACAGCCAAUCUAUAGAUGCAAUUGACAAACGAGUAUAAUCCCAACAUGAAUGUUGAUUGAUAUUUUCAUUUACCUUUAUGAACAAGACAAUAGUGAAACGACCAAGACGUAUGUUCAGUGAAAUGUCAGAACUUUACUCGUACAUUAAUGAUGUGAACA
ensembl:lncRNA